rnacentral:rRNA from 1 species
GGUAGCAUAAUCAUUAGUUUAUUAAUUGUAAGCUGGAAUGAAUGAUUGGACGAGAAAUAUACUGUUUCAGUAUAAAAUACUUAAUUUAAAUUUUAAUUGAGAAUGAUUAAAUAAUUAUGUUAGACGAGAAGACCCUAUAGAUCUUUAUAGAGUAUUUAUUUUAGUGGUAAUUUAUUAUUGUUAAUAUUUGGUUGGGGUAAUUUUUGUUUUAAAUAAUGGAAUAAUAUACUACAUAUUAAAUUGAAAUAUGAUUAGACCUGUAAUGACAGUUUUUUGAUUAAGAUACCUUAGGGAUAACAGUGUAAUUUAAUUUUAAAGUUCUUAUUGAAAAUUAAGAUUGCAACCUCNAUGUUGAAU